rnacentral:rRNA from 1 species
UUGACUUGGACAAUAAAAUAAUUAUUAUUUACGAUCUGAUCUCAAAUCAGGUA